CCUACGGGGGGCAGCAGUCGAGAAUCAUUCACAAUGGGGGAAACCCUGAUGGUGCGACGCCGCGUGGGGGAAUGAAGGUCUUCGGAUUGUAAACUCCUGUCAUGUGGGAGCAAAUUAAAAAGAUAGUACCACAAGAGGAAGAGACGGCUAACUCUGUGCCAGCAGCCGCGGUAAUACAGAGGUCUCAAGCGUUGUUCGGAAUCACUGGGCGUAAAGCGUGCGUAGGCUGUUUCGUAAGUCGUGUGUGAAAGGCGCGGGCUCAACCCGCGGACGGCACAUGAUACUGCGAGACUAGAGUAAGGGAGGGGGAACCGGAAUUCUCGGUGUAGCAGUGAAAUGCGUAGAUAUCGAGAGGAACACUCGUGGCGAAGGCGGGUUCCUGGACAUUAACUGACGCUGAGGCACGAAGGCCAGGGGAGCGAAAGGGAUUAGAUACCCCGGUAGUC
rnacentral:rRNA from 1 species